GCCUACAUGAAGCUGGAAUUGCUAGUAAUCACAGGUCAGCAUACUGUGGUGAAUACGUUCCCGGGCCUUGUACACACCGCCCGUCACACCAUGAGAGUUGAGAAUACCCGAAGCCCAUGUCAAAGUGGUCGAAGGUAGGCUUGAUGAUUGGGGUGAAGUCGUAACAAGGUAGC
rnacentral:rRNA from 1 species